AGAGGCAGUGCAUUUUAAAGUGUGGAUUAUUGUAUGAGUGUCCGAGUAGAGUUUAUAUUCCUCUUUAGGAAGCUUCACGAGUGUGUGGGUGUUUGUGCGCAUGGCUACUUGGGAGCGGGCACAGGCUCUUAGUAUUGGGGGUGUCCCUGCUGUGGGAUGUCCUCUUGCCAGAUUAGGGGAGACUCCUCUAACUCCCCAAAACUGGUGCCCGUAACUAGCCUGCCUCGGCUCGUAAGGGGUUAACUAAAGUCGAUUCGGAAGACAUACACCCCCCCCCCCACACACACACCACAGUCACCCCUACCCACACUCUCGCUUCCGACCCCGGCCAGGCUCCCAAAUCUCCCCCGGGGACCCCCACCCCACCCCGCAGCCCACCCACCCGAACGCACAGCCUUUACCUGAGGGGCCCGGCAGCUUCGGGCCUCCCGAGGGGGCUGCGAGUGUCUGUUGGAACUUCGCACGUGUCCACCCCGGCGCAAAGCAGGUUCUUGCAUGCCUGGUGAGAGCCAGUGAGGGGGAACGCAGUGCUUAAGGAGUUGCAACACUGGAGACAGGCUUUGGUGAUUCAAAUCUGGGCCCUGCUGCUCAGUGGCUUUGUGUCCUUGGAGGAAGGGUUCUGAACGACAAGGAGCUGUCAUGUCACCACGAAGAGUCCCCAGAAACAAGUCUUUCAGAGCUCUCACUUCCUGGGUAGAAUUCUCCUCUUUCAAGGGACCUCUGCUUCUGAGAUCUGAAGCCCUUCAUCAAAGACUGCUUGCGACUCGAGUGGAUCAGAAAUGCCAUCUCAGUGCUCUUCACCGGUGUGUGGGUUACACCAGCCCAGCACCCAGGGCUUUAGAAAACACGGACCUGGGACGCCUGGGUGGCGCAGUUGGUUAAGCAGCUGCCUUCAGGUCAGGUCAUGAUCCCAGAAUCCUGGGAUCGAGUCCCACAUCAGGCUCCUUGCUUGGCAGGGAGCCUGCUUCUCGCUCUGCCUCUGCCUGCCACUCUGCCUGUGCUCACUCUCGCUCCUCUCUCUCUCUGACAAAUAAAUAAAUAAAAUCUUUAAAAAAAAAAAAGAAAACACGGACCUGUCUGAUCAACAAUCACGGGCGAACCAUAAAAUCAACCAUAACCAAUUGUAUUGCUUCCUGCUCCUGGGGGACAUGGAUGAAAUAAUGUGGUUUCUUUGAUGCCUAAUAAAGUUCAAGUCCAGUGAUGGUGAGAAUGUAGAAAGGAAUGAAAGACAUGUUCAGUGCAAAUGUGUUUUUUUUUUUUUCCCCUCAUUGCCCUAUUAGAUUAGGAACUCCUCGAGCAAAGGGACCAUGUCUGCUGUCUUCAUUUGUAAUGUUUAGGACCAGUGCCCCGCUUAGUGCCCUAUUCACAAUAUGUGCUCAGUAAUUCAACACUCCCGGAAUUUUUGCUUUCCAAGUACAGGACAAACGUGGUAAAAAAAUUCUGAAUACACAAAAGCUAAAAAGAAUGAGUGUAAUGCUUUAUGUGACUGUCAUUCAGGUGGCUUUGUAAAAUAGACAAUUCUAAGCACUAAAUUGUCAGACCAGUUUAAAAAAAAAAACACACAAAUCUCAAUAGCCCCAUACACUUUUACAGCAUAUCUUUUGUGGCAAUUAUUAUAGUAGACCCCUUAUUCAUGGUUUCACUUUCCUCAGUUUUAAUUACCUUCAGUGGGCCAUUGUCAGGAAGCAGAUGAACUUCCUUCUGACCUAUCCUCAGAAGUUCAAUAGUAGCCUAACGCUAGGUCACAAUGCCUUCGUCAUUCACCUCACUUCAUCUCAUCACAUAGAUAUUUCAUCAUCUCACAUCAUCACAAAAUGGAAGAUGGGUACCGUACAAUAAGGUAUUUAGAGAGAGCACAUUCACAUAACUUUUAUUACAGUAUAUUGUUAUUAUUUUUCUAUUGUAUUAUGAGUUACUGUUGUUCAUCUCUUACUGUGCCUACUUUAGAAGUUAAACUUUACCAUAGGUAUGUAUGUACAGGAAAAACCAGUAUAUAUGGGGUUUGGUUCUAUCCACGUUUUUAGGCACCCACGGGGCAUUCUUGGAAAGUAUCUGGGUGGAUAAUGGGCAGAGGGGGGAUCUACUGUACUGUAAAUUAUAGUGAUAUAGAAAUAUAUCUUAAUUCUCUCUAUUGUUAAACUCCUUCAGGAACUAGUUUCUGUUGUGUUAUACACAUCAUACGCUUCUAAUACCUGUUUGCUGAAUAAAUGAAUGAUGAAAUGCAUGAUGUUUUAUUUCCACUCAUUCAGAAUGUUCAAAGAGGUUUCACAUAAUUCAAUGGACUUAUUAAGUAAAAAGUUACUAUCUAUUUAAUAUAUAUGGAUUGACACCAAAAUAUAAAAUUCUACACGGCAAAAUUAUACCAAAUGAUAUUAUUUUUUAUGAUACAAAAGGCACUUCAAGACCUUUAACUUACAAAAUUAAAAGAAACCAACGGUUUCCUAAAAAUAUAUCUUCAUCUCUUGUUUUGGUCUACCAGUAGUUUACCAUGACUUUUAAAUAAAUCUGCUUUGUCAAGUUGUCUAGUUGUAUGGAUCCUGAAUAAAAAGCGAUUUUAUAUUCUGCUCGGAAAGAUUUUAGAAAGCUAAAGUACCUUGAGAAAGACAAUGUAACAUUGAACCAAAGUGAUGAAAAUGAUUAUAUUUCAGUCUUUAAUACAUUUGUAUCUCGACAUAUUACAUUUCUAGACCAAAAUGGUUUGUACAUCUCUGUUGCUUGAGCAGGAGGAAAUCAUUAUAAU